AUGCUUUAAUCUUUGAAUCGUGAUUCGUGACUACGAAGUUUCUUCAAAAUCAUGAUAUUCGCUCGGAUGAUAUAUAAAAAAAGAACAACACUAAAUUUUCUGCAUAUUUUAUUCCAUUAAAUGGUUUCACAUAAAAUUAUUAACAACCUAUAACUUUCUAAAAUGAUGAGUAUACUAGUGCUUAAUCUUACUUUACAGUAUACAUGUCCUUUUACAAUCUCAAUACGUUAUCAGAUAGUUUUUUCUUUGAUAACUUACAGUUUUUCUUAGAAUAAUAUAUAGGUUACAAACUUACAAUUGGAAUGUUACAAACAAUCCAAUUGUUUAUACGAUAAAUUAUAUCAAAACACAUAUAUACAUAGAUGCAUGAAAGCAUGCAUGA
rnacentral:lncRNA from 1 species